rnacentral:lncRNA from 1 species
UUAAUUCAUUACAUUAUAAUAAUUAAGAAAAUACACACAUAAUUCACAUAAUUCACAAAUAAUACAUUUUUAUUAUUUCAAAUUGGGUUACAAAGGUUAACCUAGACUAUUACAUUGCUAAAAAAUGGCAAGCCCAGAAACACGGGCGUUACAAUUCUCCCCACCUUAGAAUGAUUCCGUCCCCGGAAUCACACAUCAACAAACAAAUGCGGAUAGCGACCCAUCAUGUCACUCUCCGUCUCCCAGGUGAGAUUUGGCCCAUUCGUGUGUUUCCAACGGACAAGCACUAACUCAACCAUCUUACGUCGCACCUUCGUAGUCUUUCGGUCAACGAUUGCCUCUGGUUCUUCAAUUAACCUUUUGUUUUCAUCAAUUCUUAACUCUAAAAGUGGAAUCAUGUCGGGAACUUCUCCCGUUAACUUCCUCAAGUAACACACAUGAAAAGUGUUAUAAAUUCCAUUCAAUUCUUUGGGUAGUUCGAGCUUGUAAGCUUGGUUCCUAAUUCUAUGAAGAACUUUAAACGGUCCAAUAAACCUUGGACUUAACUUUCCCCUUUUUCCAAAUCUUAUAAGUCCCUUCCACGGAGGGACUUUAAGCAAAACCGAAUCUCCAACUUCAAAAGCCAUCGGUCUUCGCUUUUUGUCAGCAUAGCUCUUUUGACGGUCCUGAGCAGCUAACAUUAUUUCCCUAAUUAUUUUCAACUUUUCAGUAGUUUGAUGGACUAUCUUUGGUCCCAUAAACUGUUUUUCCCCAGCCUCAAGCCAACAAGACGGCAUACGACACUUCUGUCCGUACAAAGCUUGAUAAGGUGUCAUCUUAAUGCUCGAGUGGAAACUAUUAUUAUCGGAAAAUUCUAGCAACGGUAAAUGCUCAUCCCAAUUACCUUGGAAUUCUAGGGUACCUGCUCUCAGUAUAUCUUCAAGUGUUUGUAUCGUCCGUUCGCUUUGACCAUCAGUCUGCGGAUGGUAAGCUGUACUUAAACACAACUUGGUACCCAGUUCCUCUUGUAGACUUUUCCAAAAUCGUGAGGUGAAACGACUGUCACGAUCCGACACAAUCGUUAACGGAACACCGUGAAGCCUCACAAUUUCCUUCACGUAAGAAUUCGCAAGCUUUUCCAUAGACCAUUUCUCGUUGGCUGCUAUGAAAUGCGCACUCUUAGUGAAUCGAUCAACGACCACCCAAAUCAUGUCGUGACCACUUUUUGUUCUGGGUAGUUUAGUGACAAAAUCCAUAGCAAUGUCUUCCCACUUACCCAUAGGCACAGGUAAUGGUUCUAAACUCCCGUAUGGUUUCUGAUGUUGUGCCUUGAAUCUUGCACAGGUCACACACUCCGCCACAUUCUUCGCAACAUCAAACUUCAUCGUCGGCCACCAGUAAUAGGGUUUCAGGUCCCUAUACAUCUUUGUGCUACCGAGAUGAAAGGAGUACAUGCUUUUGUGAGCUUCUUCCAUCAGAAGAUCUCUUAUUCCUCCUAACUUAGGUACCCAAAUCCGAUAUUGGAACACCUUCAGUCCAUACCAACUGUGACAUCCCCAAAAUCUCGGCCAGAAAAGAACGUUUUCAUUUAUGCUUUUUAAACAUUUUCAGAGUAAAUCCUUUUGAUUUUAAAAGAGGUGCGGAAUUUGUUCCCAAAAACAAAACAUGAUAAAAUAGAUCUUUUAUUAAAUCAUUUCAUAAAAAAAAUAUAAUUUCAUUUCAUAAUCAAAAUCGGGAUGUCAUGUUCUGAUACAAACGAUAAAGCAUAAACGAUAACAUUACAAGUCAUUCAACAAAUAUAUACAUAUACAGACUUGUAAACAAAAUAACUCGAUGAUUCAUCCAUCUUAUUCCCUUGCGCCACUUCCUGUAAUACAAAUAAACUAAGUGGGUCAGGCUUGGGAGCCUGGUGAGCAUGUAGGGUUUUCAACCCACAAUAAAUAAUUAUAUUUAAUUCAACAAUCAACAAUAACCCGAUUACCCAUUCCCGUUAUCCUCACUUUACGUCCCUAAAACAUAAUCUAUUAUAAGGGACCUAAUCUAGGAUUUUCAUCGGGACAGACGUUACUGCGAAGGGGCUUCCUUAGCAAUAAAUAUCCUAAAGGCAACCAUGAGGGGGAUAGAGUACACCGGUGAGCACGUCGUUCACAACACCUAUAGGUUAUGAGCCUGCUAGUGUUCCACAGGACUGUCUAGAAUAGUCCGCGGUUGUCAUCCAUACUCUGCUGAAUGACUAGAAUUACACCAACAACAUGGAGGCCUCUCAUCUGUUUAUUACACACCAACUAUCUACCAAUGUUCUACCCAACAUAUUAGUAGAUAAAAAUAUACAUUUUUAUACAUAGUUUAAAACCUGUAUAGCAUGCUCGAUCAAUACAUUUUUCCAGAUAACAGAUGAGGCACACACAUAACACGUAUUUCAUAGAGAAUAAAUCAGAUCUAUGAGAUAAAAGAAAGUGAAUAUACAUUCACACAUAUAAUCAAUAAAGUAUACACGUAAACACGUAUUUCGUAUAAAAUACUACAUAAUAAUGUGUUAGAAGAAAAUGACUAUACACUCACUUGAUCAGAAGAUGAUUGGGCAUCACUACGGCUUGCAGAAGUAGUGUUUCUCCGUAGAUCUGGGAGAUCUUCUCAAAAACCGGGCUCCUCGCGGGCAGGGCUUCGGCUCGAAAAUCUCACUUCUCGGGAUCCUCGGGGCUUCAGAACUUGCUUCGGGGCUCGGGAAUAAUACCGGGGCUUUGGGAUAUGAUUGGCAUGCAAAUUGAGGCAAAAACUAGAGAGAAGAAAGAGUUUGAACAAGAUAAAAUGGCUGAUCUUGGGUUCUAUUUAUAGGCUGCUGGGUUUGGGAUUACAUUGGGCGUAAUUUCUAAUUACGCGGGGCAUACUCAGUACGUUGGGCGUAAUCUCCAAGUACACUGGGCGUUAUAUGGUUAUGUUGGGCGUACUUUGACGUCACUACGUGCGUCAAUUGGUGGCACUCGGGUAUUGGUCAGACAAGUUGCACCCCUCUGAGUACGCUGGGCGUACUCAAAUUACGCUCGGCAUAAUUUGACUUGUCAAACUUCUAAAUUGCGUAACUUUCGCAUAUGAGCUCUGUUUUCGACGUUCUUUAUAUCCACGCGUAGGUCAGACCAUACUCUACAACUUUCAUUUAGACUCCGUCGGCUAAUUUUGACUUUUAUUUUUAUUUUUUAUUUUUAGAAGGCCGGGACAGAAAAAAUUUGUUAUAAAUUCAUAACUUCUUCGUCUGACGUCCGUUAUCGCCUAACUUUUCAUCGUUUCGCUACUAACAACGAGAUAUUCGAUUCUCAUUUAGAUUGUUUCGGCUAAAAACCGCUCGAUCUCAAAUUAAGUAUUCGGGCUGCAUACUGCCAAGUCGAAACUUCAGAAAAACAUAAUUCACAUAAUUCACAAAUAAUACAUUUUUAUUAUUUCAAAUUGGGUUACAAAGGUUAACCUAGACUAUUACAUUGCUAAAAAAUGGGAAGCCCAGAAACACGGGCGUUACAGUAAAGGGAGCAACAGAACCAGCCUUGGUCCCACUUGAAGAGGAUCCAUCAAGAGACUUUCCCUUGCGGCUCUUAGAGGGAGCCUUCCUCUUCUUCCCUUUCCUAUGUCCAAUUGCCACGAGAGGGGCAGUAGCUAUAGGAGUAGAAAUAAAUUUACCUUUGAGACUACUUUCAGCAGUCCUCAAAAGGCCUUGAAGCUUGCUAAGUGUGACCUCCUUCUUGUUCAUAUGAUGGGUCAUACGAAAGCCUUCAUAACAUGGAGUUAAGGAUUGUAGAAUGAUAUAUAUGGCCAAAUCCUCAUCGAAGUUCACA